AUGUCGAGCGCAGCCGCCAGAUCGGAGUCGGGCGCUGGCCCGGCCACCGCUCAUGAGCUAGCCAUGCAGCAGCCACCGCAGCAGCAGGAGGUGGUCGCCGCCGCGGCUGAAGUGCCGGCGCCGGUGGUCGUGGCCACGGCUGAGGUGCCCGCACAGGCGCCCGGGGCGGUACUCACCAUCGUGAUCUCGAAGCCGGAGGAGGAGGAGGCGCGCGAGCAAAAGGGCGUCGCUCCGGCCUCUCUGCCCCCUCUGGAGGUCGGGGACGCCAGCGCCAUGGUUGCCGUGGCGGCCGCGAAGGAGGCGGAGCUGGCGAGAUCCGACAGCUUCGACGAGCAAUGCAGAGUUUGUCAGCAAAAGUCGGAAGAACCUUUGGUAGACCUUGGAUGCAGAUGUCGUGGUGAUCUUUCAAAAGCUCACCGCACAUGUAUUGAUGUCUGGUUCCGUACUAGAGGUUCAAACAAGUGUGAGAUAUGCCAGCAAGUUGCUGUCAAUAUACCUCCUCCAGAGACACAAGCAUGUACAAGUUAUUGGGUUUGGAGGGUUGAUUCAGCUUAUGGAAGGGGCCGAGGAGGACGUGAAAGGGGAUGGUUUAGCCCACUCUGGGUUGCAUUUGCAAUUCUGAUUGGUGGUCUAUUAUUGGAUGUGCUGAUAUCUGUUUCUCUUGGUGUUUCCGCACUUCCUGUGAACAUAAUAAUUGGUGUUCUGAUUGUUCUCGGCUUGGGCACUGCCCUUCGACUAGCUCUCGAGUGCUGCCAGGAGUUUGGCUCGAGGAGAAGCAUGCCAAGGAUGGAAAACAUGGCACCCAGUGGGUACCACCCCGGAGUAUAG
rnacentral:rRNA from 1 species